GGUUAAGCGACUAAGCGUACACGGUGGAUGCCCUGGCAGUCAGAGGCGAUGAAGGACGUGCUAAUCUGCGAUAAGCGUCGGUAAGGUGAUAUGAACCGUUAUAACCGGCGAUUUCCGAAUGGGGAAACCCAGUGUGAUUCGUCACACUAUCAUUAACUGAAUCCAUAGGUUAAUGAGGCGAACCGGGGGAACUGAAACAUCUAAGUACCCCGAGGAAAAGAAAUCAACCGAGAUUCCCCCAGUAGCGGCGAGCGAACGGGGAGCAGCCCAGAGCCUGAAUCAGUGUGUGUGUUAGUGGAAGCGUCUGGAAAGGCGCGCGAUACAGGGUGACAGCCCCGUACACAAAAAUGCACAUGCUGUGAGCUCGAUGAGUAGGGCGGGACACGUGGUAUCCUGUCUGAAUAUGGGGGGACCAUCCUCCAAGGCUAAAUACUCCUGACUGACCGAUAGUGAACCAGUACCGUGAGGGAAAGGCGAAAAGAACCCCGGCGAGGGGAGUGAAAAAGAACCUGAAACCGUGUACGUACAAGCAGUGGGAGCACGCUUAGGCGUGUGACUGCGUACCUUUUGUAUAAUGGGUCAGCGACUUAUAUUCUGUAGCAAGGUUAACCGAAUAGGGGAGCCGAAGGGAAACCGAGUCUUAACUGGGCGUUAAGUUGCAGGGUAUAGACCCGAAACCCGGUGAUCUAG
rnacentral:rRNA from 1 species